UACGUAGGUGGCAAGCGUUGUCCGGAUUUAUUGGGUUUAAAGGGUGCGUAGGCGGUUCCAUAAGUCAGUGGUGAAAUACGGCAGCUCAACUGUCGAGGUGCCAUUGAUACUGCGGAACUUGAGUGUUGAUGAGGCAGGCGGAAUUGACGGUGUAGCGGUGAAAUGCGUAGAUAUCGUCUGGAACGCCAAAGGAGAAAUCAGUCUGCUGGGGGUGUGCCGACGCUGAGACACGAAAGCCAGGGGAGCGAACGGG
rnacentral:rRNA from 1 species